UGGUUGCAAACUUGGGAUGGGAAG
rnacentral:piRNA from 1 species